rnacentral:lncRNA from 1 species
CCAAGGGGACCAGAGCUGGGCAAAGGACAAGGAAACUGAGCUGGCUUUCCCAUGAACAUCCAGAAAAAGAGCAUUUUAGUAAAAGACGCUGAGAAAAGGCACCACCUUGAGCAGCCCAGAGGCAGGGCUGGAAGGUGGUGGGUGCCAGGGAGGCCCCCGGCAGAGGAGAGAGGAGAUCCAGCGUGGGACAGGGAGGGAUGGGGGCCGAAGGUCAGUACAGAGUCGGGCUGGAGGUGGGGCCGGGCCAAGGACUCUCCAAG